GAUGAACGCUGGCGGCGUGCCUAAUACAUGCAAGUCGAGCGAAUGGAUUAAGAGCUUGCUCUUAUGAAGUUAGCGGCGGACGGGUGAGUAACACGUGGGUAACCUGCCCAUAAGACUGGGAUAACUCCGGGAAACCGGGGCUAAUACCGGAUAACAUUUUGAACCGCAUGGUUCGAAAUUGAAAGGCGGCUUCGGCUGUCACUUAUGGAUGGACCCGCGUCGCAUUAGCUAGUUGGUGAGGUAACGGCUCACCAAGGCAACGAUGCGUAGCCUACCUGAGAGAGUGAUCGGCCACACUGGGACUGAGACACGGCCCAGACUCCUACGGGAGGCAGCAGUAGGGAAUCUUCCGCAAUGGACGAAAGUCUGACGGAGCAACGCCGCGUGAGUGAUGAAGGCUUUCGGGUCGUAAAACUCUGUUGUUAGGGAAGAACAAGUGCUAGUUGAAUAAGCUGACACCUUGACGGUACCUAACCAGAAAGCCACGGCUAACUACGUGCCAGCAGCCGCAGUAA
rnacentral:rRNA from 1 species